rnacentral:rRNA from 1 species
AUGAAGGCCGGGAGGAAGAACCUGCGGCGCGCGUGGCAGGAGGGCACCGCCGUCACGCUCGCGGAGAACGAGAGCAUCAUGCAGGUCGUCACGCUGCGCGGCUCCAACCUCAUCGAGGUCACAGACGGCGAGGGCGUCAAGUCUCUCGCCCUGAUCCCCGCCAAGUUCCAAAAGUGUUUCUGGAUCAAGAACGGGAAUUUCGUGGUUGUUGAUGCUAGUGGGAGGGACGAGGCUCUAGAAUCUGGAAGCAAGAUAGCCUGCGUUGUGUCGCGAGUCCUCUUUCAUGACCAAGUUCGUGCGCUCCAGAAAUCUGGCGAAUGGCCGACUAUCUUCAAGUCAACUCCCAAUGGGUGGCCGACAGGGCCAGAAGGAAUGACAUCACAUGAUGAUGAUGAUGAUGAUGAUAUGCCUCCACUCGAGGCGAACACGAACCUAAAUAGGCCAUUCAACGUGCAUUCCGAUACAGAAAGUGACUCUGAUUCUUGA